rnacentral:misc_RNA from 1 species
CAUCGACGAUCACAAUGCUGCCCACUUGCUGCUCAUGCAUCAGCGUGACCGCUUCGCGCAGCGGCGU